CUUGCAACUAUGAGGUCACUUUCAAUCACUUUCUUCCACCUUCAUUAUCAAAAGUUGUCAUGUUCGUGAGAUAAUGAGUAUAACAGGUCACUUUCGAUCAUACUCCACCUUCGUACACUGAGUUGAGGGCUUUAUCUUUCAACUAUGAGGUCACUUUCAAUCAUAUUCUUCCACAUUCGCCAUCAAAGUUAUCAUGUUCGUGAGAUAAUAAGUAAAACAGGUCACUUUCAAUCACACUCCACCUUCGUACACUGAAUUCAAGGCUUUAUCCCAUCAUUUUCAAACAUAUUCAGAUCACUUCCACACAUGUUCUUCCACCACCAUCCACAUUUACCACAUUUCCGAGGGUAGUGGAACAGUACAUUUCUACGCCAAUUCAACCCCAGCAUCCGACACCUAUUAGCGACCUCACCUAUUAGCGACCUCACCUAUUAGCGACCUCAUCCUACCGUAGUCGAAUGUAAAUUGUGGGAGCUGCGGGGUCGUCGAAACUAUGUAUUUACGAGGAGUAUUAUUACGCCUAUUAGUAUUUUCGUCCCUGUCUUUCUCGGGUAUCAUAAUCUGCUUCUUAUCGUUACGUCAAACUUGUCUAUUAGUAUUUUCGUCCCUGUCUUUCUCGGGUAUCAUAAUCUGCUUCUUAUCGUUACGUCAAACUUGUCUAUUAGUAUUUUCGUCCCUGUCUUUCUCGGGUAUCAUAAUCUGCUUCUUAUCGUUACGUCAAACUUGUCUAUUAGUAUUUUCGUCCCUGUCUUUCUCGGGUAUCAUAAUCUGCUUCUUAUCGUUACGUCAAACUUGUCUCGUGCUUAUGUUCGACGAGUGUUAAUUCGUAACAUCGCAAUUUAUUCUUGUUAUUACGUGAAAAUGUCUUGUGAUUACGUCCAGCAAGUUGAUUUUAAGGGUCAGUUCACCGUUGUGUGUUUGGUUAUGUGAGGCGAAGUUAUGUGAGGGUAGAUUAGGCUAGGGUAGAUUAGGUUAGGCUAGGUUAGAUUAGGCUAGGUUAGGUUAGGUUAGGUUAGGUUAGGUUAGAUUAGGCUAGGUUAGAUUAGGUUAGGUUAGAUUAGGCUAGGUUAGAUUAGGCUAGGUUAGAUUAGGUUAGGUUAGAUUA